rnacentral:rRNA from 1 species
AUUGAACGCUGGCGGCAUGCCUUACACAUGCAAGUCGAACGGCAGCACGGGAGCAAUCCUGGUGGCGAGUGGCGAACGGGUGAGUAAUAUAUCGGAACGUGCCCAGUCGUGGGGGAUAACGCAGCGAAAGCUGUGCUAAUACCGCAUACGAUCCAUGGAUGAAAGCGGGGGAUCGCAAGACCUCGCGCGAUUGGAGCGGCCGAUAUCAGAUUAGGUAGUUGGUGGGGUAAAAGCCCACCAAGCCGACGAUCUGUAGCUGGUCUGAGAGGACGACCAGCCACACUGGAACUGAGACACGGUCCAGACUCCUACGGGAGGCAGCAGUGGGGAAUUUUGGACAAUGGGCGCAAGCCUGAUCCAGCAAUGCCGCGUGCAGGAUGAAGGCCUUCGGGUUGUAAACUGCUUUUGUACGGAACGAAACGGUCUACCCUAAUACGGUGGGCUAAUGACGGUACCGUAAGAAUAAGCACCGGCUAACUACGUGCCAGCAGCCGCGGUAAUACGUAGGGUGCGAGCGUUAAUCGGAAUUACUGGGCGUAAAGCGUGCGCAGGCGGUUAUAUAAGACAGAUGUGAAAUCCCCGGGCUCAACCUGGGACCUGCAUUUGUGACUGUAUAGCUAGAGUACGGUAGAGGGGGAUGGAAUUCCGCGUGUAGCAGUGAAAUGCGUAGAUAUGCGGAGGAACACCGAUGGCGAAGGCAAUCCCCUGGACCUGUGCUGACGCUCAUGCACGAAAGCGUGGGGAGCAAACAGGAUUAGAUACCCUGGUAGUCCACGCCCUAAACGAUGUCAACUGGUUGUUGGGUCUUCACUGACUCAGUAACGAAGCU